rnacentral:rRNA from 1 species
AUGGCGUCCCUCCGCGCCUCCCUCCUGCUCGUGGCCGUGCUGUGCGCGCUCGCGGCGUCGUCCGCCUCCGCGGCCCGCGACCUCCGCUUGCGCCCUACCCAGUUCGUCGUGCGCGGCCGCGUCUGGUGCGACACCUGCCGCGCCGGAUUCGAGACCCCGGCCUCCACCUUCAUCGCUGGAGCGAAGGUUAGAGUUGAGUGCAAGUCGAGAUCUACUGGGGCCCAGACAUGCAGCUUCGAGGGUCACACCGACCACACCGGUACCUACAACAUUCCUGUGGCCGACGAGCAUGAGCACGAGCUCUGUGAGUCUGUCCUCAUCAGCAGCCCAGACACGGCGUGUGCCAAGACAGUUGCUGGGCGGGAGAGGGCCCCUGUCUUCCUCAACAACAACAACGGCGUCGCGUCCAACGUCCGGUUGGCGAAUGCUCUGGGGUUCGAGAAGGACACCCCUCUGGCUGCAUGCACGCAGAUCCUCAAGAUGUAUGAGGAGGUCGACGACCGCGUCUGA